ensembl:miRNA
AGAGAGAGACACAGACAAAACGUUUUGUUUUCUGUUAUGUGAAAC